UGUACAUAAUGAGGGAUGGAUAUCAUUCUAUAACAUCAUUACAAAAGAACUAUGCAGAUUGAAUGAGGAAUUUUUCUCGCACCUGAAAGGUGAACUAGGGAAACUAAGGUUUGCCGUAUUAAAGACUCAGGUUUGUCUUUAUAAUUUUUUGAUUUGGUUUUUGUGAGAUGAAUGAGAAGAAGCAAGCAUCUACAAUGAUUUUGUUUGUAGGAAAUGGAAGACAGAUUGACAGAACUGGAAGCACUCCAAAAGGCUCUGCAGCAAAGGAAUAGAAGCCUAUGAUAAAAUGCAAGAUGAACUCGUAAGCGCGAGGAAGAACUUAACGAAAAUUUUGACAUCAGAUAAUGUCAAGACUAUUGUAUGAUACUUUUCUUAGCUCGUUACAUCAUAGUAUUAUGUUUCCUGAUUUUCAUUUGGUCACUCGACGCUGGUAUGUAUGCAAUGUAGCUAUUGGAAAUGGUUGAGCAGAAUGAGUUUAAUAGAUCUUUGUUGACACUUCUUGAUGAAAAUAUUGUGAAUUCAUAUCAUGCUAACCCGGUGAGAGGAGUCAAAUAUUUUUCUAUUUGAUCCAGAUGAAUUUUUCA